rnacentral:rRNA from 1 species
GACGAACGCUGGCGGCGUGCUUAACACAUGCAAGUCGAACGGAGUGGCGAACGGGUGAGUAACACGUGGGUGACCUGCCCUGCACUUCGGGAUAAGCCUGGGAAACUGGGUCUAAUACCGGAUAGUGUGGGAUGGGGCCGCGGCCAAUCAGCUUGUUGGAGGGGUAAUGGCCUACCAAGGCGGCGACGGGUGGCCGGCCUUAGAGGGUGGACGGCCACAUUGGGACUGGGACACGGCCCAGACGGCUACGGGAGGCAGCAGUGGGGAAUAUUGAACAAUGGGCGGAAGCCUGAUGCAGCGACGCCGCGGGGGGGAUGACGGCCUUCGUGUUGUAAACUCCGUUCACCAUCGACGCGGUAGAUGGAUAAGAAGCACCGGCUAACUACGGGCCAGCCGCCGCGGUAAUUC